UCGAACGAUGAAGCGGUGCUUGCACCGUGGAUUAGUGGCGAACGGGUGAGUAACACGUGAGUAACCUGCCUUCCACUCUGGGAUAAGCGCUGGAAACGGCGUCUAAUACUGGAUAUGACAUGACCCUGCAUGGGGUGGUGUGGAAAGAUUUAGUUCGGUGGUAGAUGGACUCGCGGCCUAUCAGCUUGUUGGUGGGGUAAUGGCCUACCAAGGCGACGACGGGUAGCCGGCCUGAGAGGGUGACCGGCCACACUGGGACUGAGACACGGCCCAGACUCCUACGGGAGGCAGCAGUGGGGAAUAUUGCACAAUGGGCGAAAGCCUGAUGCAGCGACGCCGCGUGAGGGAUGACGGCCUUCGGGUUGUAAACCUCUUUCAGCCUUGACGAAGCCCCUUUUGGGGGUGACGGUAGGGGCAGAAGAAGCACCGGCUAACUACGUGCCAGCAGCCGCGGUAAUACGUAGGGUGCGAGCGUUGUCCGGAAUUAUUGGGCGUAAAGAGCUUGUAGGCGGCUUGUCGCGUCUGCUGUGAAAGCCCGGGGCUUAACCCCGGGUCUGCAGUGGGUACGGGCAGGCUAGAGUGUGGUAGGGGAGACUGGAAUUCCUGGUGUAGCGGUGGAAUGCGCAGAUAUCAGGAGGAACACCGAUGGCGAANGCAGGUCUCUGGGCCACUACUGACGCUGAGAAGCGAAAGCGUGGGGAGCGAACAGGAUUAGAUACCCUGGUAGUCCACGCCGUNANCGUUGGGCGCUAGGUGUGGGUCCCAUUCCACGGGGUCCGUGCCGCANCUAACGCAUUNAGCGCCCCGCNUGGGGAGUACNNCCGCAAGGCUAAAACUCAANNNAAUUGACGGGGGCCCGCACAAGCGGCGGAGCAUGCGGAUUAAUUCGAUGCAACGCGAAGAACCUUACCANGGCNUGACAUACACCGGANGACUGCAGAGAUGUGGUUUCCCUUUGUGGCUGGUGUACAGGUGGUGCAUGGUNGUNGUCAGCUCGUGUCGUGAGAUGUUGGGUUAAGUCCCGCAACGAGCGCAACCCUCGUUCCANGUUGCCAGCAACACCUUUGGGUGGUUGGGGACUCAUGGGAGACUGCCGGGGUCAACUCGGAGGAAGGUGGGGAUGACGUCAAAUCAUCAUGCCCCUUACGUCUUGGGCUUCACGCNUGCUACAAUGGCCGGUACAAAGGGCUGCGAUCCCGUGAGGGGGAGCGAAUCCCAGAAAGCCGGUCUCAGUUCGGAUUGGGGUCUGCAACUCGACCCCNNGAAGUNGGAGUCGCUAGUAAUCGCAGAUCAGCAACGCUGCGGUGAAUACGUUCCCGGGCCUUGUACACACCGCCCGUCAAGUCACGAAAGUCGGUAACACCCGAAGCCGGUGGCCCAACCCU
rnacentral:rRNA from 1 species